AAUAAUUAUAGUACUUCUGAAAUUAUCUUCAAUGUUUUGACUCCCUAGUAUACAGCUUACGUUUUCACAGGUUACUUCUAACAAUAACACUUAGCCGAGAAAAAAAAGACGUGGUCAGACUUACCAAAGGGCUUUUCUUAAAAAAUUCAAACAAGAACGGAUGUAUUAAGCAUGGCUAUAAAAUAUAUAAACGAAUUAUCUAAUGCUCACCAAUCGUAAAUAACACUCACUUAAAACGCGGCCCACUUAAUUUAAAAAUUACGGCCCACUUAAUAGAAAAUAUGUAAACAACAAGAAACACUGUAAUCAUAAUCGGAUUUUACUUUCAAAUAUAGUAGAAAUCGUUUAUUGUCAAAUGGUUUCCGUGACAAAAUCAAAUUGAUGGCAUUCCUUAUAUCAACAUUACGUAUAAAACGCGCUGGACAUUAGAUUUUACAAUAGUUAGUUUGAAACAGCACCGCAUGCGGUUGAUCAGGGAACAAGAAGAAUAAGCAAAAAAAAUUCUGUGAAAAAAAUAAAGAUAUUUCUUUUAAAGAACUUUAUCAAAAUGUUGAGACUUUGGAUCAUGCUCCUUUUGGCUAGUAUCGUGUGUGUUUACACGGCACCCGUUUUAGACGGUUAUCCGUUUUGUUCUAUAUGCGAUUCAAUGUACAACGAAUGCCAGAAGAAACAUGAAGGAAAUUCCGAUGUAUUCGCUGGAUUUAUAGUUUGUGUACAACAAAAAGAAAAAUGUCAACGCGAUGUUUGCGAGUUAAAUUUGCCCAAACGGCACAAGAAGAUACAAAAACUUAUGAAGAGGAUGCAGAAGAAUGUGAAGAAGAUUCAAAAGCUACUGCACACUUAACGUAUUUCUGACGACCAAAAAAAUAACAGUGGAUGUAAAUGACUGGAGUUUUUAACAAAACUUUUGCGUUCCUUCAAAAUUGAUUGACACCAAAAAAGAUUUUCAUUUACAAUUUUGGACAAAGCUUCUACGCGUCGUUCUCGCUCAAACACUACGUCAUUUGACAACGUAUUUUGACUACAUGUACAAAGAAUUGGACUAUUAAACUCAAGAGAAAAUUUAAUUUAUUUUUCGCUAGGGCUAUAUUUACACGUCGCUUUCGUCUCGCAGCAAAUUAAAAUAAAAUAAAUUUCGUGGAUUAUCAAAAAUAGAACACGGCGUUAAUUCCUACGCAUAUGAAACUUUGUUAUGGUUUCGUAUUCAGAUUUCACAUUAAAUUCGCGCGAUUUUAAUUCGACGUUUAAUAAAAGCGAUGUCUAAACAUAGAUUGACUGUUGUGUAAAUAAAUUUUUACUAAAAUUUCUGUUUGAUAGAAACAAAUUAUUUCCUUAACUUUAUUAAUUUAUUACCUAUUAUAAGACAUUGUUAUUUGUGAAACUUCGAAAAAAAAGAUGACUGAAUCCUUUUUAGCAGAUUAUUUUUUGUGUGCAUAGCCUCAGGGCAAGCGCAGGGAGAAAAGAAAGUUUAUAAAUAUUAA